rnacentral:lncRNA from 1 species
GGAAAUUCUUACGGAUGUAAGAUGCAGACAAAAUCUCCAGUUCUCAAAUGAAUAGUGACAAGUAAUACAGUCCAGGGAAAGAUCAGCCAGGUUUUCAGUUGGCUUUUAUUUUUUGCAUUUUUCCAGUAUAAAUUUUUAUAUGAAUGCCUUAUUUCUCUCUUUUCCCUCCAUAAAUGAAGAAUAUGGCUCUUGAAAGGUGACUUGCAAGUACACUGUGUCCUGAAGUUCUCCCAUUUAAAUGGCAAUAAUGCUGGAUUAAUCCCCAAGAGUUUGUGACUUCCUUUCUGCAAGCCUACCAAAACUCACCUCAGCCACGGAAGAUCCUUGAGUGUCUCAGCAGCAGUGCAGAGGAAGUGAUCUGAAGGAGACCAGAAGUGAGGGGGAGCUGGCAGGGACUAUCCUAAACCCAAAACCUUGGAGAAGCUGAACAAACAUGAGAAAGGACACUAAAAUCCACCAAUUUCACCUGCUGUGAGGAGGAGAUCAACACCAAGAACCCAACAGAUUCCCAGCUGCUGUGUGAACAUUUAUUUCUCCCCUUCUCCUGAGACCAAGAGGGCAACCCACCAUCUUUACCUUCUGACUGCGAGAAAGCUCUAAUGGGUUUGUGGACUAAAUACUGUGAAGAAAUUCUGAUUGGAUUAUCAGCAGUAUUUUUGGCUGGACUCAUCAUCUGGCUGUGACUCAAAUGGAGAAGUGAAAAGCCAGUUAUCUGAUAGGUUUGGCUGUAAUGAGCAGUCUUCAGAGAUCACAGGGUGUUUUACACUGCUGAUGAGUCAAGCCAACAGAGAAGAGCUUCUGAGCUGGGACCU